CCUACGUGAGACUGCAGUGGGGAAUAUUGCACAAUGGGGGGAACCCUGAUGCAGCGACGCCGCGUGAGUGAAGAAGUAUUUCGGUAUGUAAAGCUCUAUCAGCAGGGAAGAAAAUGACGGUACCUGACUAAGAAGCCCCGGCUAACUACGUGCCAGCAGCCGCGGUAAUACGUAGGGGGCAAGCGUUAUCCGGAUUCACUGGGUGUAAAGGGAGCGUAGACGGCAGAGCAAGUCUGAAGUGAAAGCCCGCGGCCCAACUGCGGGACUGCUUUGGAAACUGCCCGGCUAGAGUGCUGGAGAGGUAAGCGGAAUUCCUAGUGUAGCGGUGAAAUGCAUAGAUAUCACACAGAACACCGAUUGCGAAGGCAUCUCACGAAUCCGCGAUUGACGCUGAUGCACGAAAGCGUGGGUAUCAAACAGGAUUAGAUACCCCAGUAGUC
rnacentral:rRNA from 1 species